rnacentral:rRNA from 1 species
ACGGGGCGCAGCAGGCGCGAAAACUUGGCAAUGCGAGAAAUCGUGACCAGGGAACUCCAAGUGGCUGGGGUAAGACCCAGUCUUUUCUUGACUCUUCAACGGUCUUGGAAUAAGGGGUGGGUAAGGACGGUGCCAGCCGCCGCGGUAAUACCGGCGCCUCAAGUGGUAGUCGAUUUUAUUGGGCCUAAAACGUCCGUAGCCUGUUUGGUACAUUCGUGGGUAAAUCAACCAGCUCAACUGAUUGAAUUCUGCGAGCACGGCCAGACUUGGGACCGGGAGAGGUGUGGGGUACGCUCAGGGUAGGGGUAAAAUCCUGUCAUCCUGAGCGGACCACCUGUUGCGAAGGCGCCACACUAGAACGGAUCCGACGGUCAGGGACGAAGCCUAGGGGCACGAACCGGAUUAGAUACCCGGGUAGUCCUAGGUGUAAACGCUGUGGACUUGGUGUUGGGGACUCUCCGAGAUUCCUCAGUGCCGAAGCGAAGGUGAUAAGUCCACUGCCUGGGGAGUACGGUCGCAAGGCUGAAACUUAA